rnacentral:rRNA from 1 species
UACGUAGGGAGCGAGCGUUGUCCGGAAUUACUGGGUGUAAAGGGUGCGUAGGCGGGUAGACAAGUCAGGUGUGAAAACCAUCGGCUCAACCGGUGAACUGCACUUGAAACUGUAUAUCUUGAGGGAAGUAGAGGCAAGCGGAAUUCCGAGUGUAGCGGUGAAAUGCGUAGAUAUUCGGAGGAACACCAGUGGCGAAGGCGGCUUGCUGGGCUUCAACUGACGCUGAGGCACGAAAGCGUGGGGAGCAAAC